UGGGGAAUAUUGGACAAUGGGCGCAAGCCUGAUCCAGCAAUGCCGCGUGUGUGAAGAAGGCCUUCGGGUUGUAAAGCACUUUUAUCAGGAGCGAAACGCUGUCGGCUAAUACCCGGCGGAACUGACGGUACCUGAGGAAUAAGCACCGGCUAACUUCGUGCCAGCAGCCGCGGUAAUACGAAGGGUGCAAGCGUUAAUCGGAAUUACUGGGCGUAAAGCGUGCGUAGGCGGUUUCUUAAGUCUGCUGUGAAAUCCCCGGGCUCAACCUGGGAAUGGCAGUGGAUACUGGGAGGCUAGAGUGUGUCAGAGGGUGGUGGAAUUCCCGGUGUAGCGGUGAAAUGCGUAGAAAUCGGGAGGAACAUCAGUGGCGAAGGCGGCCACCUGGGACAACACUGACGCUGAGGCACGAAAGCGUGGGGAGCAAACAGGAUUAGAUACCCUGGUAGUCCACGCCCUAAACGAUGCGAACUGGAUGUUGGUCUCAACUCGGAGAUCAGUGUCGAAGCUAA
rnacentral:rRNA from 1 species